GACGAACGCUGGCGGCGUGCCUAAUACAUGCAAGUUGAGCGCUGAAGGUUGGUACUUGUACCGACUGGAUGAGCAGCGAACGGGUGAGUAACGCGUGGGGAAUCUGCCUUUGAGCGGGGGACAACAUUUGGAAACGAAUGCUAAUACCGCAUAAAAACUUUAAACACAAGUUUUAAGUUUGAAAGAUGCAAUUGCAUCACUCAAAGAUGAUCCCGCGUUGUAUUAGCUAGUUGGUGAGGUAAAGGCUCACCAAGGCGAUGAUACAUAGCCGACCUGAGAGGGUGAUCGGCCACAUUGGGACUGAGACACGGCCCAAACUCCUACGGGAGGCAGCAGUAGGGAAUCUUCGGCAAUGGACGAAAGUCUGACCGAGCAACGCCGCGUGAGUGAAGAAGGUUUUCGGAUCGUAAAACUCCGUUGGUAGAGAAGAACGUUGGUGAGAGUGGAAAGCUCAUCAAGUGACGGUAACUACCCAGAAAGGGACGGCUAACUACGUG
rnacentral:rRNA from 1 species